rnacentral:rRNA from 1 species
ACAAGCGGUGGAGCAUGUGGUUUAAGUUCGAAGCAACGCGAAGAACCUUACCAGGCCUUGACAUGCAGAGAACUUUCCAGAGAUGGAUUGGUGCCUUCGGGAACUCUGACACAGGUGCUGCAUGGCUGUCGUCAGCUCGUGUCGUGAGAUGUUGGGUUAAGUCCCGCAACGAGCGCAACCCUUGCCUUUAGUUGCCAGCAGUUCGGCUGGGCACUCUAAAGGGACUGCCGGUGUUAAACCGGAGGAAGGUGGGGAUGACGUCAAGUCCUCAUGGCCUUUAUGACCAGGGCUACACACGUACUACAAUGGCCGAUACAAAGGGCAGCGACACUGCGAGGUGAAGCCAAUCCCGUAAAAUCGGUCUCAGUCCGGAUUGGAGUCUGCAACUCGACUCCAUGAAGUUGGAAUCGCUAGUAAUCGUGGAUCAGCAUGCCACGGUGAAUACGUUCCCGGGCCUU